rnacentral:tRNA from 1 species
GCGGUCAUGGCGGAAUGGCAGACGCGCUGCCUUGAGGGGGCAGUCGGGAUUCUCCCGGUGGAAGUUCGAGUCUUCUUGACCGCA